rnacentral:misc_RNA from 1 species
AAGUCGUAACAAGGUUUCCGUAGGUGAACCUGCGGAAGGAUCAUUACUGUGAUUAUACCAACACCACACUGUGUGGGCGCACAAAACACCUAAACCUGGAGUAUACACACGUCAACAAAAGAUCUAAAAGAAUAAAACUUUCAACAACGGAUCUCUUGGUUCUC